rnacentral:tRNA from 3 species
CGGCGAGUAGCGCAACUGGUUUGGGACCAGUGGGUCGGAGGUUCGAAUCCUCUCUCGCCGACCA